rnacentral:tRNA from 1 species
UCCCGUGUAGCUCAGUUGGUAGAGGAUGGCGCUUGCAACGCCAGAGUUGUGUGUUCGAUUCCCACUUGGGAC